AAUCUCCUGUGGAAGGAGGCAGAUGAGUUAUCCCCAGGCUGCGACUCAUUCAGCCAGACUCAGGCCCCAGCGGUGAGGUGUAAUUCGAUUACUGACAGUCUUGAGGCCUAUGUAGCUGACUGCAAAUGCUACAGUGACAAAAGGCUACAGCAGCAGUCACCCAAGGCCUGGAGACAACAGCAGGAGGUGAGGGUACUGGUUGGGGCCUCAUCCCUGACUGGCACCCUGGGGAAAAGUGGCCAAUGCUUUACCUCCAGAUGGGCCUUAGGGACCUAUCACACAAACCUACCUGGAGGGGAAAGCAAUGACUUGCCUGCAGUAGGGUGGCCAGUGGCCGCAGGGCCUAGGCUCACCAUGCCAUUUGAGCAAGCUAGGUUCAGUCGUGGCCCCAUCUCAGGAAACUGGGGGGCCCUAAGUGAGAAGCCCUUCCCACCUGCUCCAUCCAGGGUAGCUUGGGGCUGGCCCUCAGGCCUCGUCUGCUAUAUAGGUGGCCCCUCGGCCACCUCACCUUUACUGGGAUCCUAUGUGGCUAGUACUGCAGUACCAUACCCCCUCUAACCCCAAGCCAGAAGGCAGCAGCUUCUAGAAGGAUAGAAGUGUAGGCUGAUAACCCGAAGAGCUGAAUCCCACACCCUGGGCAUGGAUUUGGGAACUCUGGCCUCAAUUUCCCCAGCUGUAACACCUGGACAACAGCAGCAGCCACCUUAGUGGAUGAUGGUGAGGAUUCAGUGCACAAAUCCAUAGCCCACUGUGACACUCCAAGCAUGCAGCUGCCUGGGACCCACAUGCCCAGCUCCUGGCCAGCCUUGGCAUGCAGAAGGCCCUCAGGGGAGGCUGGGGUUAGGUGGCUAAACCAACCCCCACAUGUGGAAAAGGUCUAUGCAAAGCCACAAAGCCAUGAAGCCACAGUACAUUUUACUCUCAGGCCUGCUUUCAGCUGGCUCCCUGCCUGUCCUCCUUUGGGAGCCUGGCCUAGAAGGGACUUCUGGUCCAAUGGGUGGCACUGCCUGGCCCUGACCCCCACCAGUUCCCUGCCAGGGAGUCCACAAUGAGAGGGUGGCUAAAUACCACCAUUGCUGGCUCCCAAAUGCUAUUAAUUAGGACAACUUCCAGCUUGUGUUUGAAGCAAGCUUGGUGGAUAAUGGGAGAAAAGUGGGAAAGUUUAGUUCCUCUUGCAAAGAUGUUUAGUUCCUUUGCAAGAUGGGAGUGGAAUGUGUGUGAUGGUUACACAAGGACAGUGAGGGGUCCCAGCACCCACAGGCUCUGUGGCCUCCUUGGGGAUAACGGGCUUUGGCUAAGCCCACCAGUGGGAGGCCAUGGUGGUCUUGUCCACUCCAUUCUCAACCCUAAGAAUACUGCCUACCCUAGUUGACAUUUAGUAUGGAUUUGUGGAAAGAAGGGAGGGAGAGUGGAAGAGAGGGAGGAUGGAGAAAGGAACAAGCAAGUAAGUCUCGAGCUGUCCAAUAAUAGAGACUUUGGUUCAUCUUUGUUUCCCAAAAUGCUGGCCUGGCAGGAAUGCCGAGCCAUGGUACCACGUGUGUCUCUGGCCAACACGAAGCCCAAGCUCUGUCCUCGCUGCUGAGCCACAGGUGCCCAUGACUCUUCUAGUGGAGUUGGGGUGGGAUGGCUCACCUGACCACUGGUGGUCCUGAUGGGGAACAGUAGCACCCCAAAGGCAGCAGGCUUUCUUCCCUGCUCUAAGGGCCCAUAUAUGACUGGUGAAUGGAUUACUCAGCAGGCCUGUCUUAUUUUGAAAUACUUGUGUUUAUCAUUCACUUUUUCUAGUUGCAUUUCAAAGCACUGCUAAGCAGGUCUUAAAAAACACCUUGAUAUAAAUAGCCAGCAGGCAUAGCUUUUGGUAGCUACAGGUCUCUCAGAUGACCCUGGUCUAACAUUCAGGGAGCACCUAUUUGAGGGGCAGUUUCAGAGACAGAGGAACAUGACUCUGGAGGGGUGAGGUGGGAAGAAUACUUUAAAAUCACAGGGGUCCCCCAGUCCUGUCUGUCUUGAGGACACAAUGUGAGGCCCACCUGCAAAGGGCUUGAUCACUGGUCCAGUGUAGGUGGGGCCAAGUUAAUCAGUGUGGAGCUGCUGGCCAGCAAGGAUGGAACUGAGGAAAAUGGUCACAUCCCAGACCAGACACUUUGGGAAAGACCCAAAGUUUAUUCAGAGAUAAAACCAUCUCCAGCUUGAUCAGCCUCACACACAGGGCAGGGCUUGGAGGGAUGACACACAGGACUAAGGCCACUCUGGGGCCCUAGGGUGCUGGCACUCAGCAAGGAUGGGGCCUGCAGAAGAGCUGACCCCAAGGCACAUGAUAGCCACCCUGAUUCAGGACCAAUACCCCCGGAUCCAAAGCAGAGACACCUUUGCCCAGUUCUGGCCAGGUGAUGCCAGCCCAGGCUCUUCAGUCCAGUCUAGGGCAAACCAACUUCCCUCCUCCUUGGCAAAGACCUGAAGCUCAUCUCUCUUUCAUUAUCUGGAUCAGAGACAUGGUGCCCAAGAAUGGAGUGUGAUCUAUGCUCUGCUCCACAGAUACAAGGAGAGACAGUCUGGGGCCAAGGAACCUGAGCUUGUCAUUGAGACCACAGCAAGACCAAAGGGACAGAGGCCACUUCUUCCCUGGCCACUGUCCCUCGGAUCAAAGCAAUGCCAUCUUCUGUCAGUGGGGCCUUCAUGGAGAUCCCGAGACAGAUUCAUGUCAUUCCUCAGGCUGAGCUUUGUGAUCACCUGCUGGGUUUCCUGAGACGGUGUGGGAGUAGACGGUUCUGGGGUUCAUCCACCGAAGACCCUCUACAAACUGCGAUUCUCUCACACACUAGCCCUGGCUCACACAUUAGCUCCAUCUCCUAAAGCCUAGGUCCAGAUCUGGGCUGGACUCUCCUGUCUUACACCUGGCAACUUUUGAAUGCUGACUCUUUGUGGAACUUAAAAAUUAUUUUUAAAAACAAAGCUCCUAACAACCCAAUGAAAAACAAACAAAGAAAAAGCAAAGGAUCAAAAUAGACAUUUUUCUAAGGAGGCUGAACCAAGGGCCAGAAGAUACCCUGCAUCCUGAAUCAUUGGAAAUACACAUCAAAUUCUCGGUGAGACGCCAUCUCACAUGCAGCCCAUCAUGAGCAAAAUGGAGGGAAAACACUGAGCACUGAUGGGGUGGGCACAGACCUGUCAUCAAACAUUGCAGAUGGGGCGUGGAAAAGGGCAUAGCCACUUUCUGUGGAAAACUCUAGAGAGCCCUCAACAUGAUUGUGAAAUUACCAUCCACUCAAUUCUGCUGCAAACCUAGAACUGCUUCCAAAAAAAGUCUUUAAAAAAAACCCACAAAAAGACAAAAUUAUUGUACAACUCAACAACUCCACUUCUGAGUUUACACCCAAAAGAACUGAAGGCAGGGACUUAACAAGAACUGAGUGUAGCCUGUUCCCCAUGACUGCUUUGUUCACAGGAGCCAAAAGGUGUUAUGUGCAGAAAGAUGAGAAAAGAAUAAGACAUGGUCCAUCUGCAUCCUGGAACAGCAGCAGCCUUAAAAUGAACGCUGAAACUCAGAAGAAGAAUCUUGAGGAUGUGAUGCUCAGUGGAAUGGGCUGGGCCCAGAAAGACAAAUACUGUGUGACUCCGCUCACAGGAGAUGCUUAGAGCAGUCAGACCCAGGAUGGGGGAGCCAGGGGCCGGGAAGUCAGUGUCUAAUGGGGACAGAGGAGAGAUGUAAGAGUCCUAGAGACGGAAAGACAGGGGUGUUGGCUGCAUAUCAGGGCGAGUGUGCAUAAUGCCCCUGAACUGUGCACCUAUGCUGGGGAAUUUUAUAUGUAUUUUACUACGCUAAAAGAAAAUGGGGCUGAAGAAGGGCAAUGCAGAGUGAUUGUUAAUGGAUACGGAUCUCCCUUUGGGGUAGUGAAAAAUUUCUAGAAAUAGACCGAGGUAGUGAAUGCACUGAACACCACCAAACUGCACUGAAUUUAGAAAGGUUACCACAGUGGAUUUUAUGACAUGUGUUUUACCAUAAUAAAUCUGGGGCUUCCUGCUCCCCUCUGGUUAGGUCUCCUGUGGGCCUGGGUCUCUGCCACAUCUUGGCCUGUGGCCCUGCAAUGUCCUCUAUAACUGCCCUCGGGACUUUAGCUCUGAAUCCUCAGAUUUCUGUUGGCUCAGCACUGAGUGGGAGGACUGAGCACGUGUGGCCAGCUGCAACAUGUCCCUCUGACCUCCAUGCGGUCCCUUUUCAGGAAGCCAAAGGGGCUAGAAGGUUAAGGAAAGUAAGGAAGGUUCCCGGGUUCCUGUCUCAACAGCAUGUUAGCCAAAUGUGUGUCGAGCUGAGCUCAUGCAACUUGGGUUCUGAAUGCUGACAGGGACAUGGGAAGGUUGUUACCCUGCCACCAAAGACUUUGCUGUGCAUACUGUAAACUUGUACUUUGGCAGACAGACACUGUCACCCCUCAACCUGGAUCCAAGGAUGACAGCAUGUGACACUGAAGGAAAAGACAGCUCAGAGCCUCCAGAGGAACACUCCCAGGCACACACUGUUACAUCCAUACCAGCUCUACCCGUGUGUGGGCUUAGGGGCUGCAGUGGCACCAGCGCAAAUCCACAGGGCUGAGGUAAAUGCUGAGCAGGGCAGGUGCUUAUCUGAGUUUCCUACUUCAAGUGUACGAAAGGGGAAAGGUUAGAGCACAUGGGCUCCUGCAUUUCGCAAUCCCUGUGGAAUCAUCACUCACCGCUCACUGAGAAGGAUGAAGGUCGCCAGGCCGCAGUCUUAUCUAUUGUUUCGUUUUUAUCAGUUGGUGAAUCCACAACACUGGGGGAUUUUCUAAGGCCCCAAGUGUUUUGAAAUUCUGUGCUGCUGGCGCCGUGAGAUUUAGAGCUCUGAGGGCUCCUGCAUGGAGGACACAGGGUACCUGCAGGGCCCUCAGAUUAGGUCUCUGCCCAGAACCCUUGGAUGAAAGACUUUUCUGUUUGUUUGUUAAACAAUAAAGAAGCCUCACAGAUGCUUA